ACCCUUCCCCGCGGGGGGGGUCCCCCCAUUAAAAAAAAACUUUUCCUUCUCUCAGAUGAACGCUGGCGGCAGGCCUAACACAUGCAAGUCGAGCGGUAGAGAGGUGCUUGCACCUCUUGAGAGCGGCGGACGGGUGAGUAAUGCCUAGGAAUCUGCCUGGUAGUGGGGGAUAACGUUCGGAAACGGACGCUAAUACCGCAUACGUCCUACGGGAGAAAGCAGGGGACCUUCGGGCCUUGCGCUAUCAGAUGAGCCUAGGUCGGAUUAGCUAGUUGGUGGGGUAAUGGCUCACCAAGGCGACGAUCCGUAACUGGUCUGAGAGGAUGAUCAGUCACACUGGAACUGAGACACGGUCCAGACUCCUACGGGAGGCAGCAGUGGGGAAUAUUGGACAAUGGGCGAAAGCCUGAUCCAGCCAUGCCGCGUGUGUGAAGAAGGUCUUCGGAUUGUAAAGCACUUUAAGUUGGGAGGAAGGGCAGUUACCUAAUACGUGAUUGUCUUGACGUUACCGACAGAAUAAGCACCGGCUAACUCUGUGCCAGCAGCCGCGGUAAUACAGAGGGUGCAAGCGUUAAUCGGAAUUACUGGGCGUAAAGCGCGCGUAGGUGGUUUGUUAAGUUGGAUGUGAAAUCCCCGGGCUCAACCUGGGAACUGCAUUCAAAACUGACAGGCUAGAGUAUGGUAGAGGGUGGUGGAAUUUCCUGUGUAGCGGUGAAAUGCGUAGAUAUAGGAAGGAACACCAGUGGCGAAGGCGACCACCUGGACUGAUACUGACACUGAGGUGCGAAAGCGUGGGGAGCAAACAGGAUUAGAUACCCUGGUAGUCCACGCCGUAAACGAUGUCAACUAGCCGUUGGGAGCCUUGAGCUCUUAGUGGCGCAGCUAACGCAUUAAGUGACCGCCUGGAGACGCGACUUGU
rnacentral:rRNA from 1 species